rnacentral:rRNA from 1 species
CGGAUUGUAGUCUGCAACCCGACUACAUGAAGCUGGAAUCGCUAGUAAUCGCGGAUCAGAAUGCCGCGGUGAAUACGUUCCCGGGUCUUGUACACACCGCCCGUCACACCAUGGGAGUCGGAAAUGCCCGAAGUCUGUGACCCAACCGGAAGGAAGGAGCAGCCGAAGGCAGGUCUGAUGACUGGGGUGAAGUCGUAACAAGGUAGC